AGAAUCAACGCUGGCGGCGUGCCUAACACAUGCAAGUCGCACGAGAAAGGGACUUCGGUCCUGAGUACAGUGGCGCACGGGUGAGUAACACGUGAAUCAUCUACCUUCGAGUGUGGAAUAACUGAGAGAAAUCUUAGCUAAUACCUCAUAAUACCUACGGGUCAAAGCAGCAAUGCGCUUGAAGAGGAGUUCGCGGCAGAUUAGUUAGUUGGCGGGGUAAUGGCCCACCAAGACGAUGAUCUGUAUCCGGCCUGAGAGGGCGCACGGACACACUGGAACUGAAACACGGUCCAGACUCCUACGGGAGGCAGCAGCGGGAAUUUUGCGCAAUGGGGAAACCCUGACGCAGCAACGCCGCGUGGAGGAUGAAAUCCCUUGGGAUGUAAACUCCUUUCGAUAGGGAAGAUAAUGACGGUACCUAUAGAAGAAGCCCGGCUAACUUCGCGCCAGCAGCCGCGGUAA
rnacentral:rRNA from 1 species